AGCUAAUAGAUACCCAGGUAGUCCCAGCAGUAAACGGUGCGCGUUUGGUGUGAGCAGAUUCGACUCUGUUCGCGCCGGAGCUAACGCGUUAAACGCGCCGCCUGGGAAGUACGAUCGCAAGAUUAAAACUCAAAGAAAUUGACGGGGGCCCGCACAAGCGGUGGAGUAUGUGGCUUAAUUCGAUGCAACGCGAAGAACCUUACCUGGGUUUGACAUGCAUCUCUAAGGAGGUGAAAGCUUCCGAGGGUAGCAAUACCCGAUUUGCACAGGUGCUGCAUGGCUGUCGUCAGCUCGUGUCGUGAGAUGUUGGGUUAAGUCCCGCAACGAGCGCAACCCUUGUAUGCUGUUGCUAUGCUUACGCAUAGCUCUCUGCGUAGACUGCCCCGUGAAACGGGGAGGAAGGUGGGGAUGACGUCAAGUCAGCAUGGCCCUUACACCCAGGGCUGCACACGUACUACAAUGCUCAGUACAAUUAGAACCUGCCCCGCGAGGG
rnacentral:rRNA from 1 species